GGAGGGGGGCUAGCGUUGUUCGGGAAUUACUGGGCGUAAAGCGCGCGUAGGCGGGCUGGUUAGUUCGGGGGGUGAAAUCCCCGAGGGCUCAACCUCGGGAACUGCCCUCAAUACUGCCAGUCUUGAGUUCGAGAGAGGUGAGUGGAAUUCCUAGUGUAGAGGUGAAAUUCGUAGAUAUUAGGAAGAACACCAGUGGCGAAGGCGGCUCACUGGCUCGACACUGACGCUGAGGCGCGAAAGCGUGGGGAGCAAACAGGAUUAGAUACCCUGGUAGUCCACGCCGUAAACGAUGGGUGCUAGUUGUCAGGCAGCUUGCUGUUUGGUGACGCAGCUAACGCGUUAAGCACCCCGCCUGGGGACUACGGUCGCAAGACUA
rnacentral:rRNA from 1 species